CGUCGGGAGUUGAGUUCGUUCAGACCCAGCUCAUUUCACUUUCCCCAUUUCUUCUUCUCGUCUGCUCCACGCGGAGGCGAUUCAAAUCGACCUGGCGAGAUGGCAACAAGAAGACGAAGAGGAUUUCUAGAUUAUCGUAGAUCCAAAAUAGAAGUUGAAGAUAAUGACAUCAUUCAUUCUUCACCUCAGUCUGCUGUACAUGGUCACCUUCAUUUCCAAUAAUUCAUUCGGUUUUUUGUGCAGUUUCAGAUGAUACAAGGAUUUCAAGUUUUAGUUCGGGCAGCUAGGGGGGUGUCUACUUAUCACCCAAUUAUUCUUUCAGAUGAUCCAAUCAUUUCUGCUCGGUAAUGUGAGUAAGUGUUUACUGAAAGUCAGCAAAUCAGCAUCCUCAAAACAUCAUUUUUUGUUGUGUGCCCUGCAAAUUUGCCGAUGCAUAUCAAUCUUGUUCAUUAUUGGUGUGCAAGUUCAUGACAUCCAGAAAUCACCAUCUCAAAACGAGCAAAUUAGUGACCCACCUGGAAAUAUGUUGAUGCACAUUGAUACUGUUGAUUAUUGGUACGUACCCCCUCUCAGCCAUCUAUCAUUCGAGUUUUCUCCAUGGAUUUUGUUCUGCCGCCUCCUUUUUGCUGAGGUUUAGUUCCCGAUCCAUUCCAUUGGGUUGGAAUGUCUUCAAUCUGACCUGAGCUUCUUGGAUGCAAGUAUAGUAUUUUUCACUCUGUUUUGUUAAAUAUAUUCAAUACCCCAAGAAGUAGUUUUUUUUGUACAUUUUGAUCUAACUGAUUAUAUUUGCAUAUGUAGGGUUUUAGUACGCUGACUAUAGAAAAUUUUUGCUAUAUCUGUUUUCUUCUAUCUGGUUGGUUAUAUUUGCAUAUGUAGGGUUUAUGUAGAGUCGAAAGGAAAAUUUGCUAUUUGACUGACUAUAGUAAAUAUCUGUUUAUUUUUAUAUGCUUUUUCUUCUUUUGAACCUGUUGGUUAUAUGUUUGUCAGUUUUUUGCAGUCUAGAACCCUUCUAGUUAGUGGGAUGAACUAUUCUUGGUAAUUUCAUUUUUCUUUUGGUUAUUAUAGUUGCUUCAUGAUAAAUUUACAUGGGAUUGCAACUGUAAUUUGAUUGUAGGUGAAGUGUAAUUUUAGAUUGUUUAUAUUGUAAUUUUCUUCUCUUCUAUUUUUUGGAAUAAGUUAAGCCUGUGUAGAGACCUGUAGGAAGUUUAUAGUUCACUGAAAUGACUAGUAUAUAUGGGAUUCUGCAUUUUUUUUUGUAAAAGAUGAUUCUUCAAUUUUUGUGUUUUUGAUUACGUAUGAUCUUAGUCUGAUCUAGUUUUAACUGUGUAGGUUUUCUGCAAUUAGUACAUAGAUGCCCUAUUUUGUUUUUUUUUGUCAAAUCAUUUUUUGUCUAUCUACGCUAAUGUCUCGUAACCUUUCAGAAACUGCUUUCAAAAGAGAUUUUGUGUUGUUGCCCUGAGAUAUUUUCAUCUAUCUUGGAAUCAAAGAAGGCCCCCAAGAUUUGCCUUAUUCUUGCUUGGUCUGUUUCGAGUCAAGAGAGUAAUUGUUUCAUGUUGACUGUUAGAGCUUUGGAGAGUCCUGUUGGUCAAAAUGAGAUUGCAUUGUAUCGUAUUGCUGUUGAUCCUUCAAGGGAUUUUGGAUUCAUUCUAUGACCAGAUGCAGAGAAAGCAAAUUUUUGUCGUGCUCAUUAUGUCGGAGUUGGAUCUGAGAAGAUUUUCUUUGACCAGGUAUGCAGUGUAGGAUAUUUGCCGUUUUGUGAUGAUGUUAACCAAUAACCAUCACCCCAGGGUUAUGAGAAUGAUAUGACAAAAUCUGCUCAGAAGAAAUGACCAGUGUGUUUUGAGCAUCCUUUUUCUGAACAUAUCAUCUUUUUGGGCAAACGAGAAUAUGAGGUGGUCCAAAUAUGCUAGUUAUCAUUGUUUGCUUAUAAUACUUUUUAUGUGUUUUGUUCAAGUUGAAUGUACCCUUUUCUAAAUAUGUAUGAACCAGGAGAUUAUAAAGUCGUCAUCUCUCUAUUUUUCUUUU